UAAAAACCUCUCAUUUUCCACCCAAAGCCAUGUGUAUCUAUAGCUUCAAAUCUCGUGUGUCUCUUCUUCCUCUUCCUCUUCCUCUUCCUCUACUCAAUCUUCUCCUUUAUCUUGACCCAGCAACACCAUCCACUUGACCCACUCACUCCAACAGAGCUCAAUCAAGUCCGAACCAUAGUACACCGGUCCAGACCCAGUCCACACCACAACCUGACCUUCCACUAUGUAGGCUUAGAUGAACCACAUAAACCCACCAUCCUCACAUGGCUGUCAAACCAAGCCACCCAAAACCCACCUCGCCGAGCCUUCAUUAUCGCCCGUAUCAUCCAUAAAACUCAUGAAAUUGUGGUGCACUUACCGUCUGGUUUGAUCGUAUCCGAUCGAGUCUAUCAUGGACAUGGUCACCCUGUGCUCAACUUUGAAGAACAAGUAGCUGCAGUCCAGUUGCCACUAACAUAUGCGUCAUUUAUAGACUCAAUUGGCAAGAGAGGGCUUAAGUAAGAGGAAGUUGUGUGUGGGAGUUUCACUAUAGGGUGGUAUGGAGAAAAGAGAGAAAGUAAUAGGGUGAUCAAAGUUAUGUGUUAUUACUUGGAUGGGACUGUUAAUCUGUACAUGAGGCCUAUUGAGGGUAUAACAGUGAUUUUUUAUCUUGAUGAGAUGAAAAUCAAGGAUUACAGUGACAGAUCGAUGGUGCCUGUACGGAAGGCAGAUGGAACAGACUACAGAGAAUCGAAGCAGAAGCCGCCUUCCACGUUUAAAGGGGAUAACAGUAUUGCAAGCAGAAGGUCCAGUAAUAUCCUUGGCAUCAAUCUAUGACCUCGACAAGGAUGAAUAUCAUCGAGUUCUCUAUAAAGGGUUUGUGUCAGAGCUCUUUGUGCCGUACAUGGAUCCAACAGAAGAAUGGUACUGCCCACUAUUUAUUCCAUUAUUUUACCCCAUGGAAAAGAGACAAGUGCUGCGGUGGCAUGGGAAGUUGGGAAGCCACUAGUGAUUGAAGAAGUGGAGGUUGCACCCCCCCAGAAAAUGGAAGUUAGUUUGAGGAUCCUCUUCACUUCCCUCUAUCACACUGAUGUCUACUUCUGGGAAGCCAAUGUUUUUUCUUCACUAGUCUGAUUUUCACAAGUAAAAUAUAGUAAAAAAGCUUUGUUUUGGGAUGCAUCACAUUCUUAAGUUACCUUGAUACCUUGAAGUAUUUUGAUAUAUUUUGGAAAACAUGCAAGUGUUAGCAUGUAGCAUCUUUUAGUUAUAAAAUGUUAUUUUUGCCUAGAAAUAUGUAAUGUGUAUCUAAGUACACUUUUUGGAUGCUUAUUUGGUAUAUAUGACAUGAGGCCAAUGCCAUUAAUUCUAAA